rnacentral:rRNA from 1 species
CGGGGAGGUAGUGACGAAAAAUAACAAUACAGGACUCUAACGAGGCGCUGUAAUUGGAAUGAGUACAUUCUAAAACCUUUAACGAGUAUCCAUUGGAGGGCAAGUCUGGUGCCAGCAGCCGCGGUAAUUCCAGCUCCAACAGUGUAUGCUAAAGUUGUUGCGGUUGAAAAGCUCGUAGUUGGAUCUAGGGUGGGCGCCGCCGGUCCGUCGCAAGGCGUGUCACUGGCGGCGUCUGCCUUGCCUUCGGUUCUCCGUCGGUGCUCUUGACUGAGUGUCGGCGGUGGCCGAUAAGUUUACUUUGAAAAAAUUAGAGUGUUCAAAGCAGGCUGUUCGCCUGCAUAGUGUUGCAUGGAAUAAUGGAAUAGGACCUCGGUUCUAUUUUGUUGGUUUUCGGAGCACGAGGUAAUGAUUAAGAGGGACAGACGGGGGCGUCCGUACUCUGCCGUUAGAGGUGAAAUUCUUGGAUCGGCGGAAGACGAACUACUGCGAAAGCAUUCGCCAAGAAUGUUUUCUUUAAUCAAGAGCGAAAGUCAGAGGUUCGAAGACGAUCAGAUACCGUCCUAGUUCUGACUAUAAACGAUGCCAACUAGCGAUCGGGAGGCGUUACCAUGACGACCUUCCCGGCAGCUUCCGGGAAACCAAAGUCUUUGGGUUCUGGGGGAAGUAUGGUUGCAAAGCUGAAACUUAAAGGAAUUGACGGAAGGGCACCACCAGGAGUGGAGCCUGCGGCUUAAUUUGA